UACGGAGGGUGCAAGCGUUAUCCGGAUUCACUGGGUUUAAAGGGUGCGUAGGUGGGUAGGUAAGUCAGUGGUGAAAUCUUCGAGCUUAACUCGGAAACUGCCGUUGAUACUAUCUAUCUUGAAUACCGUGGAGGUGAGCGGAAUAUGUCAUGUAGCGGUGAAAUGCUUAGAUAUGACAUAGAACACCAAUUGCGAAGGCAGCUCGCUACACGAAUAUUGACUCUGAGGCACGAAAGCGUGGGGAUCAAACAGG
rnacentral:rRNA from 1 species